rnacentral:rRNA from 1 species
UGGGGAAUAUUGCGCAAUGGGGGAAACCCUGACGCAGCAACGCCGCGUGCGGGAUGAAGGCUUUCGGGUUGUAAACCGCUUUCAGCAGGGAUGACUUCGACAGUACCUGCAGAAGAAGCCCCGGCUAACUACGUGCCAGCAGCCGCGGUAAUACGUAGGGGGCGAGCGUUAUCCGGAUUCAUUGGGCGUAAAGCGCGCGCAGGCGGACUCAUAAGCGGAGCCUUUAAUCUUGGGGCUUAACCUCAAGUCGGGCCCCGAACUGUGAGUCUCGAGUGUGGUAGGGGAAGGCGGAAUUCCCGGUGUAGCGGUGGAAUGCGCAGAUAUCGGGAAGAACACCGAUGGCGAAGGCAGCCUUCUGGGCCAUCACUGACGCUGAGGCGCGAAAGCUAGGGGAGCAAACAGG